rnacentral:lncRNA from 1 species
AGAAAUAGAUGGCGGCGAUUGCGGAAAUGGUCGCGGGCACGCGCGGCGGUCUUCCGUCCGGCACGCGGCAAAAUUUGCGGGGAACGAAAAAAGAGGGUUGACGACAUCGGGUGCCGGGACGGCGGGUCCGACGGGAAGGAAGGGAUAUUUCGGGAGCUCAACGGUCGGAAAAAAAUUUGGAAUACAUUUUUAACGAGUGAUUUAAUUUGGUAGAUUUUUA